rnacentral:tRNA from 1 species
GGAGUGGUACCGAAGCGGUCAUAACGGCAUGGACUCGAAAUCCAUCGUGUGAGCAAUCACCCGUGGGUUCAAAUCCCACCCACUCCGCCA